rnacentral:rRNA from 1 species
UGGGGAAUAUUGGACAAUGGGCGAAAGCCUGAUCCAGCCAUGCCGCGUGUGUGAAGAAGGUCUUCGGAUUGUAAAGCACUUUAAGUUGGGAGGAAGGGCAGUAAGCGAAUACCUUGCUGUUUAGACGUUACCGACAGAAUAAGCACCGGCUAACUCUGUGCCAGCAGCCGCGGUAAUACAGAGGGUGCAAGCGUUAAUCGGAAUUACUGGGCGUAAAGCGCGCGUAGGUGGUUCGGUAAGUUGAAUGUGAAAGCCCCGGGCUCAACCUGGGAACUGCAUCCAAAACUGGCGAGCUAGAGUAGGGCAGAGGGUGGUGGAAUUUCCUGUGUAGCGGUGAAAUGCGUAGAUAUAGGAAGGAACACCAGUGGCGAAGGCGACCACCUGGGCUCAUACUGACACUGAGGUGCGAAAGCGUGGGGAGCAAACAGG